AUCGGACAGUUUCUCUAAGUCUUCGGCCAGCUGCCCAGCAGGCAUGUAAACGAGAACAGAAUGACCAGUGGCCUUGUGAAGAUUGAGAAAGUAGCUGCAUUCAUAUGUUGUUUCUGCAACCACUCCAAGAAACUCCACGUUCGGCCAAAAGAUGUGUUCAAAAUGCAGUAUUAUUUUAUUCUCUACCCCCACUCCAAGGUCAGAUAUGGCGG
rnacentral:misc_RNA from 1 species